rnacentral:rRNA from 1 species
AUUGAACGCUGGCGGCAUGCUUUACACAUGCAAGUCGAACGUUAACAGGGAGCUUGCUCCGCUGACGAGUGGCGAACGGGUGAGUAAUAUAUCGGAACGUACCCAAGAGUGGGGGAUAACGUAGCGAAAGUUACGCUAAUACCGCAUGCGAUCCAAGGAUGAAAGCAGGGGAUCUUCGGACCUUGUGCUCCUGGAGCGGCCGAUAUCUGAUUAGCUAGUUGGUGAGGUAAAGGCUCACCAAGGCGACGAUCAGUAGCUGGUCUGAGAGGACGACCAGCCAUACUGGAACUGAGACACGGUCCAGACUCCUACGGGAGGCAGCAGUGGGGAAUUUUGGACAAUGGGCGCAAGCCUGAUCCAGCAAUGCCGCGUGAGUGAAGAAGGCCUUCGGGUUGUAAAGCUCUUUUGUCAGGGAAGAAACGGGAGUGGCUAAUAUCCAUUCCUAAUGACGGUACCUGAAGAAUAAGCACCGGCUAACUACGUGCCAGCAGCCGCCGCGGUAA